GAUGAAGAACGUAGCGAAAUGCGAUACUUGGUGUGAAUUGCAGAAUCCCGCGAAUCAUCGAGUUUUUGAACGCAAGUUGCGCCCGAAGCCAUUCGGCCGAGGGCACGUCUGCCUGGGUGUCACGCAUCGUUGCCCCCCCAAACUCCGGUUCGGGCGGGGCGGAAGUUGGCCUCCCGUGUGUGCCUGCGCGCGCGGUUAGCCCAAAAGCGAGUCCUCGGCGAUGAGCGCCACGACAAUCGGUGGUUUUUUUACCCUCGUUCCUCGUCGUGCGUGCCCCGUCGCCCGAACGCGCUCUUGCAACCCUUACGCGUCGCCUCGGUGGCGCUCCCAACGCGACCCCAGGUCAGGCGGGACUACCCGCUGAGUUUAAGCAUAUCAAUAAGCGGAGGA
rnacentral:misc_RNA from 1 species